GGGGCUGUAGCUCAGUGGCAGAGCGUUUGCCUCCAAAGUGUGAGGCUCUGGGUUCCAUCCUCAGCACCA
rnacentral:tRNA from 1 species